rnacentral:rRNA from 1 species
GACGAACCGUGCGAACGUUGUUCGGAAUCACUGGGCUUAAAGGGCGCGUAGGCGGGCUGCCAAGUCUGGGGUGAAAUCCUCCGGCUCAACCGGAGAACGGCCUCGGAUACUGGCGGUCUCGAGGGAGGUAGGGGCGUGCGGAACUAAGGGUGGAGCGGUGAAAUGUGUUGAGAUCGGGAGGAACGCCGGCGGCGAAAGCGGCGCGCUGGGCCCGUCCUGACGCUGAGGCGCGAAAGCCAGGGGAGCGAACAGG